GGAAGGAUCAUUACAGAAUAAACUUGAUGGGUUGUAGCUGGCUCUCUCGGGAGCAUGUGCACGCUUGUCACCUUUAUCUUUCCACCUGUGCACCUUUUGUAGACUUGGAAUUUAAACUAUCUGAAGGUUUUUAAAACCUUCAGUUUGAGGGAUUGCUGUGCCCCACACGGUCGGCUUCCCUUGUGGUUCCAAGCCUAUGUUUUUCAUAUACCCCAUAGUAUGUUUCAGAAUGUAUUCAAAGGCCUCAGAGCCUAUAACUUUAUACAACUUUCAGCAACGGAUCUCUUGGCUCUCGCAUCGAUGAAGAACGCAGCGAAAUGCGAUAAGUAAUGUGAAUUGCAGAAUUCAGUGAAUCAUCGAAUCUUUGAACGCACCUUGCGCUCCUUGGUAUUCCGAGGAGCAUGCCUGUUUGAGUGUCAUUAAAUUCUCAACCUUAUCAUCUUCGAUGGCAAGGCUUGGACUUGGGGGUUUUUGCAGGCUUCAAACUUUUUUGAAGUCGGCUCCCCUUAAAUGAAUUAGCCGGAAAACCCUUGUGGACCGUCUAUUGGUGUGAUAAUUAUCUACGCCGCCGGACAGGACUGCACUUUUUAAUGGGAUUUCUGCUUCCAAUCGUCCUUUAGGGGACAAUCAUUUGACUAUUUGGCCUCAAAUCAGGUAGGACUACCCGCUGAACUUAAGCAUAUCAAUAAGCGGAGGAAAAGAAACUAACAAGGAUUCCCCUAGUAACUGCGAGUGAAGCGGGAAAAGCUCAAAUUUAAAAUCUGGCGGUCUUUGGCUGUCCGAGUUGUAAUCUAGAGAAGUGUUAUCCGUGCUGGACCGUGUACAAGUCUUCUGGAAUGGAGCGUCAUAGAGGGUGAGAAUCCCGUCUUUGACACGGACUACCAGUGCUUUGUGAUGCGCUCUCAAAGAGUCGAGUUGUUUGGGAAUGCAGCUCAAAAUGGGUGGUAAAUUCCAUCUAAAGCUAAAUAUUGGCGAGAGACC
rnacentral:rRNA from 1 species